ACGACCUUACUUGAACAGGAUCUGUUCUAUAGGCUCGUACCAUUGUGUCCUUGAGUUCUAAGGAGACAAGAACCUAAGCCUGGUUGAUGAAUCAUGACCAUGUAAUCAGAGCGUGAUUAAUGGCUUUGAUGGUCUCUCUUCCGAGAGUGUCAUCUGUGGCAACAGAGGAUCGUUCUCAGACAGUGUUUGACACCGGCUGGGAUGGUUACACGGUUGUCUGACAGGCUCAAAACAUUUUGUUUAUUUUUCAUCCUACAAAACAGUGAAGUGUGGGAGCAAAGUAGAGGAGGGUUUUAGUGUUCAGCAAUUGCUACUUGAGGCAGAGGACUUGCCACGUAGCAACAGGAAAACCGAAUAGACUCCUUAACAAAGAUUUGCAUGUUGGGGAUGUAGCUCAGAUGGUAGAGCGCUCGCUUAGCAUGCGAGAGGUACGGGGAUCGAUACCCCGCAUCUCCAU